GGGUCGCGGGGCGGGCACUAGAGCAGCCUCCAUGGCGGCGGUCGCGCCACCUGCCGUACCCUCCGCUCCCUGCAGCCGGGGCUGGCGAGGCUGUGGCGACGGGAGCUUAAACGUUAGCGUUUUGUUGUUUAGAGCACACGCUGCGGUCCAGGUGCUGCGGAGCGGCCCUGUUCUUGCUGUUAUAACACAGAUGACAAGCUGAUAAUCAGAGAAGGUCUAAAGGGGAAAAAAAACCAAACUGGAAUCACACUUCACUAAGAAGAAAGACAAGAUUUUCUAUUUACGUGGAAUAUUCAACUAGCAGAUGAACACCUUACUAGGUAACAGUUACACAGAAGAGACCUUGGAGGCAGUUAGAACAGAUGCUGAGUAUGCCAACAGCAUACUGUUAUACCAGGAUAUAUAAACAGAAACAGAAUUCAAAAACUGGAAUACUCUAUCCUGUUUUGAACGCUGCCCUUCAGAUUUAAUCAAGUAUAUGAACUUGAUGGAAUGAGUCUAGAUGAGAGGAUCAGUAAGGAUCAGAGCUUAAAUGCAUAAUAUAUUGGAAAAUAUUUAAAUAAUUGGGAGUGUUUACAUUAAAGAAGAGGAAACCUGAUUAAAAAGAAAAGCAAGACAAACAAGCUAAAAAAAAAAAAAGUCUGCUGCAAAGAAAAAGAAAAUUGUUCCUCAAGCCAUCUAAAGCUGUGAUUAGAAACGGAUUCAAUUUACAGGAGAGAAUUCAAGUACAUCAUCCUUACAGUUACACAAUCUUUAUUGAUAAGUAAGUAGUUGGAGGUAGAGCAGCCUCCCAACACACCAGUAAAGUCUUCAAAAAGAGGCUGCACAAAGGCUCCUCAGAUACUCUCACUCUGCUUUGAAGCAUGGGAAUAAACACAAAACAAAUGUUCUAACCUGUUUUCCUAUGCCUCCUUAAUUUAAUUCAAAACAGAAAAUUCAGUGUUUCCAAAUUUGCCACUCUAACGGAUUAUUAUGCCUUGUUAGUUUAUCCUCAGGCCUCAAGAAACACAAAUGUAUAUACCUUUCCAGAGAGUUACAAAAAGAAUAAUGCCAAUAAACACAUUAAGCAAAACAAAGUGCUUCUUGUAUCAUUAACUGCAAAACAGACAAUUGAAAAAAUCUAGCUGUUUAUCUAUGAAACAUGGUAUCCAACAGCAGUACAACUCUGAUUACCAAAACACAUUCCACAUAGUUUCCCCACCUGUCCUUCUUUGGGGACAAGGUUAGCAUGCCACACCAAGGGAAAAGUGUACCAGAAACGAGAUCUUUAACACAGAAAUCAGCGUCAAGCUCCUCAAGGCUAGUGCACCCCAUCUGCCUCUGUUUUCCAUCUAUUUUUCAAAGCAUUAUCUGAAACAAAAGCAUACAGAUGAGGAGUAGCAGUGCUAGUUUAACCACAGAAUGAAGUUUUGUUGAAGAGACUUGUGACCUGAAACUGACCCACACCAAACGCUCUGACAAUUUCGACCCUUCCUUUAAACAAGCCCCACUUAAAUACAGUUAAAGCAACUAACGAAGCGGCUCCUACAAACAGCGAAUCGGCACACAACCGCCGGCAGCUUUUCCACAUCAGCAAGAGGGGUCCCUGCAGGGCCGCGGCGGCCCGGCUCAGCGCUACCCGCCGCCGCCCGAGCGGACACAGCCCGAACCCAGCACCGGCAGGGCCCGGGGACUGUGCCGCAACGCACGCGCCGCGC